rnacentral:lncRNA from 1 species
GGUGGGAUCUCAGCUGGGACCAUUGUUGCGAUUGUGGUUCCAAUUUCUGUCGCCGUGCUUCUAUUUAUAGUGGGAAUUUGUUUCUUGAGUAGAAGAGCCAGGAAGAAGGCUUCUGCAAAGGAAGGAAAAAGUAAGGAUCCACGAAAAAGAUACUCAUUUUUUCCUCUCUUUUUUUUAAAUGAAUGAUUUCAUCUUACGCGUUUGUUUUGGGUUUCUAGAUGUAGAUGACAUCACCACUUUGGAAUCCUUGCAAUUCGGUUUCGGCACGAUUGAAGCCGCCACAAACAAUUUCUCAGCGGACAACAAGCUGGGGG